CAAUCCGAGGCCUAAGAUUUAACACGUGGCUCUGUCUCUUCCCUUUCCUUCCUGAAUAACUCAGUCCGAACACCACCGGCCGAGGCCUAGAAAGCUCUGUCCACUGAGAGGGCCUGGGGGCCACAACGCCCCACCCGUAACAAGCAUACCUACCCCCCAAAUCUCAGUUUCUGAAUUCAUUCUCUGCUAAAAAGAACCAGCAGCUACGGGGACAAAUGGCUGAGAGAAGACACAAACCACCUAGAAUAUUCGCAUACUCUUCGUGCAGGAAAGUGGUCAAAGAUUGAUGGGGACGUUCUAAAAGGACGCAGCAGCCAGCUCCAAGAGGCCUGACAGAGGACAAUUUGAGUGUCAAAAUAAAACACGACAAACAUGGAUGACAACCCACGGAACAGCACAGGGAUCCGUGAUGCCGCACCCCUGUAAAUAGAUAGACAAGUGAACUAAA